rnacentral:sRNA from 1 species
GGCCAGGCCGAGUCAGAAAGGC